AGUGAACGCUGGCGGUAGGCCUAACACAUGCAAGUCGAACGGCAGCACAGUAAGAGCUUGCUCUUACGGGUGGCGAGUGGCGGACGGGUGAGGAAUACAUCGGAAUCUACUUUUUCGUGGGGGACAACGUAGGGAAACUUACGCUAAUACCGCAUACGACCUACGGGUGAAAGCAGGGGAUCUUCGGACCUUGCGCGAUUGAAUGAGCCGAUGUCGGAUUAGCUAGUUGGCGUGGUAAGGGCCCAACAAGGCGACGAUGCGUAGCCGGUCUGAGAGGAUGGUCCGCCACACGGGAAUUGAGACACGGUCCAGACUCCUACGGGAGGCACCAGGAGGGAAUCUUCCACAAUGGGCGAAAGCCUGACGGAGCAACGCCGCGUGAGUGAUGAAGGUCUUCGGAUCCUAAAACUCUGUUAUUAGGGAAGAACAAAUGGGGAAGUAACUAUGCACGUCUUGACGGUACCUAAUCAGAAAGCCACGGCUAACUACGUG
rnacentral:rRNA from 1 species